rnacentral:rRNA from 1 species
GGGGUAACGGCCUACCAAGGCGAUUACGGGUAGCCGGCCUGAGAGGGCGACCGGCCACACUGGGACUGAGACACGGCCCAGACUCCUGCGGGAGGCAGCAGUGGGGAAUAUUGCGCAAUGGGCGAAAGCCUGACGCAGCGACGCCGCGUGGGGGAUGACGGCCUUCGGGUUGUAAACCUCUUUUACCACCAACGCAGGCUCCGGGUUCUCUCGGGGUUGACGGUAGGUGGGGAAUAAGGACCGGCUAACUACGUGCCAGCAGCCGCGGUAAUACGUAGGGUCCGAGCGUUGUCCGGAAUUAUUGGGCGUAAAGAGCUCGUAGGCGGCGUGUCGCGUCUGCUGUGAAAGACCGGGGCUUAACUCCGGUUCUGCAGUGGAUACGGGCAUGCUAGAGGUAGGUAGGGGAGACUGGAAUUCCUGGUGUAGCGGUGAAAUGCGCAGAUAUCAGGAGGAACACCGGUGGCGAAGGCGGGUCUCUGGGCCUUACCUGACGCUGAGGAGCGAAAGCAUGGGGAGCGAACAGGAUUAGAUACCCUGGUAGUCCAUGCCGUAAACGUUGGGCGCUAGGUGUGGGGACUUUCCACGGUUUCCGCGCCGUAGCUAACGCAUUAAGCGCC